ensembl:lncRNA
AGCACGGGACACAAUACUUGUAGGCCCAGGGGAAAGCGGAUGUCGUCUUGACCCGGAAGAGACCCUAGCAAGGGAGAAAGAGACCUGAAACUCUUGGACACCACGUGGCUUCUCCACGGCCUCGCCCCCCCUCCCCCAUCUCGGUCUCCGCGGGGCUCAAGCAGGGGAAGGGUGGAAGCCACGAGGGCGCGCCGCGGAGGCGGACGCCUGCCGCCGGUCUCCUAGCAACGCCCGCCCCGCCCCGCCCGGCCUGGCGCGCUGGCGCCGGGAAGCGGAGGGAGGGGGCCGCCGUUGCCAUGGCAGCGCAGCCACCGCGUCGGUCGCCGGCGGAGCCUGCGGGGAAGCUCGGACCCCGAGUGGGCGACUGGGCGGCGUCUCUGGCUCGUUCCCUUAGGCUGCGGCUGGAUCUCGUGCUCGCCAGUAGCCACGGGGAACCGAGUCGCCACCAAGCGUGGCCGAACUCGGGCCGAUUGGCCCCGACUCAUUUGCCCACCGACGUGGCCCCGGAGACGCACAGCAAUCACUGUGAAUUGAGCACCUUGCUGAUUGAGCA